GAUUGAACGCUGGCGGCAUGCCUUACACAUGCAAGUCGAACGGCAGCACGGGAGCAAUCCUGGUGGCGAGUGGCGAACGGGUAAGUAAUAUAUCGGAACGUGCCCAGUCGUGGGGGAUAACGCAGCGAAAGCUGUGCUAAUACCGCAUACGAUCUAUGGAUGAAAGCGGGGGAUCGCAAGACCUCGCGCGAUUGGAGCGGCCGAUAUCAGAUUAGCUAGUUGGUGGGUAAAAGCCUACCAAGGCGACGAUCUGUAGCUGGUCUGAGAGGACGACCAGCCACACUGGAACUGAGACACGGUCCAGAC
rnacentral:rRNA from 1 species